ACUAAAAUGGCAGAUAAAAUGUUUAGGACUUAAGCUCCUACCAAGAAGGGCCUCCUUCUUUUAGUA
rnacentral:tRNA from 1 species